GGCGCGGUAGCAAAGUGGUUAUGCAGCGGACUGCAAAUCCGUCUACGUCGGUUCGAUUCCGGCCCGCGCCUCCA
rnacentral:tRNA from 2 species